UACGAAGGGAGCUAGCGUUGUUCGGAAUCACUGGGCGUAAAGCGCACGUAGGCGGAUGUGUCAGUCAGGGGUGAAAUCCCGGAGCUCAACUUCGGAACUGCCUUUGAUACAGCACGUCUUGAGUCCGAUAGAGGUGGGUGGAAUUCCUAGUGUAGAGGUGAAAUUCGUAGAUAUUAGGAAGAACACCGGUGGCGAAGGCGGCCCACUGGGAUCGGUAGCUGACGCUGAGGUGCGAAAGCGUGGGGGAGCAAACAGG
rnacentral:rRNA from 1 species